rnacentral:rRNA from 1 species
AGCUCCAAUAGCGUAUAUUAAAGUUGUUGCGGUUGAAAAGCUCGUAGUUGGUUUUCUGUCGAGAGCAACUGGUCUGCCCACUGGGUGAGUAUCUGACUUGAUCUUGGCAUCUCUCUGGGGAUUGCUGCUGCACUUGACUGUGUGGUGUUUGAUCCAGAGCUAUUACUUUGAGGAAAUUGGGGUGUUUCAAGCAAGCAUUGGCUGUUGAACACAUUAGCAUGGAAUAGUGAGUGUGACACCUGCUCUAUCUUGCCGGUUUCUUGGGCUGGUGUAAGGGUCAAGAGGGAUGGUUGGGGGUAUCCGAACUUGGUUGUCAGAGGUGAAAUUCUUGGAUUUGCCAAAGACGCACGACUGCGAAAGCAUUUAUCCAAAAUGUCUUCAUUGAUCAAGAACGAAAGUA